GACUAACGCUGGCGGCGUGCCUAACACAUGCAAGUCGAACGAUUCUUUGAUUUAUAGCAAUAUUUAUUAAAGAGGAGUGGCGAACGGGUGAGUAACACGUAGAUAAUCUGCCUUUCAGACGGGGACAACUCAGGGAAACUUGUGCUAAUACCCGAUGAGACCACAAGAAGGGAUUUUUGUGGCCAAAGGCGGGCAGCAAUGCUCGUGCUGAAAGAUGAGUCUGCGUCCUAUCAGCUAGUUGGUGGGGUAAAUGCCUACCAAGGCUAAGACGGGUAGCCGGCCUGAGAGGGUGAACGGCCACACUGGGACUGAGAGACGGUCAAACUCCUACGGGAGCAGCAGUGGGGAAUAUUGGGCAAUGGGCGAAGCCUGACCCAGCAACGCCGCGUGAGGGAGAAGGUUUUCGGAUUGUAAACCUCUGUUCUUGGGGAAGAGAGGAAGACGGUACCCAAGGAGGAAGCCCCGGUAACUACGUG
rnacentral:rRNA from 1 species